AGGGGGCUGCUUAACCAUGCCAGUCGCACGAAGGUUUCGGCCUUAGUGGCGGACGGGUGAGUAACGCGUAGGUAUCUAUCCAUGGGUGGGGGAUAACACUGGGAAACUGGUGCUAAUACCGCAUGACACCUGAGGGUCAAAGGCGUAAGUCGCCUGUGGAGGAGCCUGCGUUUGAUUAGCUAGUUGGUGGGGUAAAGGCCUACCAAGGCGAUGAUCAAUAGCUGGUUUGAGAGGAUGAUCAGCCACACUGGGAUUGAGACACGGGCCAGAGUCCUACGGGAGGCAGCAGUGGGGAAUAUUGGACAAUGGGGGUAACCCUGACCCAGCCCUGCCGCGUGUGUGAAGAAGG
rnacentral:rRNA from 1 species